rnacentral:rRNA from 1 species
UACAGAGGGUGCGAGCGUUAAUCGGAAUUACUGGGCGUAAAGCGCACGUAGGCGGCUUUGCAAGUCGGGUGUGAAAUCCCCAGGCUUAACCUGGGAACUGCAUUCGAGACUGCAUUGCUAGAGUAUGGGAGAGGGAAGUGGAAUUUCCGGUGUAGCGGUGAAAUGCGUAGAUAUCGGAAGGAACAUCAGUGGCGAAGGCGACUUCCUGGACCAAUACUGACGCUCAUGUGCGAAAGCGUGGGGAGCAAACAGG